rnacentral:rRNA from 1 species
UACGUAGGGUGCAAGCGUUAUUCGGAAUUACUGGGCGUAAAGCGUGCGCAGGCGGCUUUGCAAGUCAGAUGUGAAAUCCCCGGGCUUAACCUGGGAACUGCAUUUGUGACUGCAUGGCUAGAGUGCGGCAGAGGGGGAUGGAAUUCCGCGUGUAGCAGUGAAAUGCGUAGAUAUGCGGAGGAACACCGAUGGCGAAGGCAAUCCCCUGGGCCUGCACUGACGCUCAUGCACGAAAGCGUGGGGAGCAAACAGG